UACGGGGGGGGGCAAGCGUUGUUCGGAAUUACUGGGCGUAAAGCGUGCGCAGGCGGUUUUGUAAGCCAGAUGUGAAAGCCCCGGGCUUAACCUGGGAAUGGCAUUUGGGACUGCAAGGCUUGAGUGCGGCAGAGGAGACUGGAAUUCCUGGUGUAGCAGUGAAAUGCGCAGAUAUCAGGAGGAACACCGGUGGCGAAGGCGGGUCUCUGGGCCGAUGACUGACGCUGAGGAGCGAAAGCGUGGGGAGCGAACAGG
rnacentral:rRNA from 1 species